GUGCAAUUCUGAUGAAAGCACCACAUGGACCCUCUAUUGUGGAGAGUCUAGAGAAUAAUACAAUUUCCACCAAGCAAAGGCGUGCAAUGGUGCGAAUUACCGUUUCUUUUCUUAUUGAGAAAUAUGGCGAAACACCAUCAACAGAGACCAAAAAGGCAAUGGCCAUUUCUCUAGUAGAGACAUUUCCCUGUCUCCGUGACCCUGAAGGAAAUGGCUUUGAGGCCUGGUUCAGCCAGGGGCGAAAACACAGGCCUUCCACAGGAUUUCUUGAGGAGCGCCUUCGCAAUUUAAGAAAGAGGAUGCGGAGAUUAAGAACACAGCCCUCCAUAGUGCCUGUCUGUGAGGAGAGGUUGACUUUCAUUCCUACAUCAACUUUGUCUCCUGAGAGAGCAAUUCAAUUAAAAGAAUGGCUAAAAAACAAUACCAGACCACUGGACCAGGUUGAGCAGUAUAUGAAAGCUUUUUAGAGCUCACUGGAUUCGCCAGAACAGCUCGAAACCAAUAUCUGAGAUUUUAUCAGAGUUCCCUCGUCUAAUGGAUACCCCAGGCAUGACUUUAGUGUACUCCACCCUGAUGCUGCUGACAAAUUGUGCUCAUCCUGGUUGCCUGACUUUGCUGACAAGAUCCUGGCCUUUGCUAAAAGAGAUGGACGACAAAUGGAUUUCCUCAAUUUAGACAACAUAUCUGCAGAUACCAAAGGCACCAUGGCACUGAAAAUUUUACCUCAGAUCCUUCCACCAUCUGUGUACAAGAUUGGCAACAAAACAUUCCGGCCAACUAUUGAGGAAGCCAGAACCUCUUUCAUUGAUGUACAACCAUCUGGAACCAACAUGGUGCAGUACCUACUAAAACAGAGGGAGGAGAAGCCCUUCCCAUUUGUCUUAGAACUUGGAGUUGGUGGACAGUUUUUCGUGGUGGUGAAUGGGGAAGCCCUAGAAGAGCAGACUCUCCUCAAGGCAGUAGAUGUUUGUUUCAAGUCCUUUUUUUGCUUUGACAUCCACUUUCCAAAACAAUGUUCC